GAAACGCCCGGUCCCAUUCCGAACCCGGAAGCUAAGACCCACAGCGCCGAUGGUACUGCACCCGGGAGGGUGUGGGAGAGUAGGUCACCGCCGGAC
rnacentral:rRNA from 2 species